ensembl:snRNA U6 U6 spliceosomal RNA
GUGCUCACUUCAGCAGCACAUAUACUAAAAUUGGAAUGAUACAGAGAAGAUAAGCAUGUGCCCUGCACAAGGAUGACGUGCAAAUUUGUGAAGCAUUCCAUAUUUUU